rnacentral:tRNA from 1 species
GAAGGUAUAGCUUAGUGGUAGAGUGUAUGUUUAGCAUGCAUGAUGUCCUGGCUUCCAUCCCCAGGACCUCCA